CCAUUGUGUGGUGUAGUGGUUUGAGCGUUAGACUAUGAUUCUGGAGAACAAGGUUUGAAUCCCUGAUCAACAAUGGG